CCCAGCAAUGGGUGAGUAAAGUGGCGCACGGGUGAGUAACACGUGACUAACCUACCCUUGAGUGGGGGAUAACCUAGGGAAACCUGGGCUAAUACCGCAUAAUACCUACGGGUCAAAGGAGCAAUUCGCUUUAGGAGGGGUCGCGACAGAUUAGUUAGUUGGCGGGGUAAUGGCCCACCAAGACGAUGAUCUGUAUCCGGCCUGAGAGGGCGCACGGACACACUGGAACUGAAACACGGUCCAG
rnacentral:rRNA from 1 species